AAGAACGAUCAUGUAAGCAUAAAAUAGAAAUAGAUCACAAGAGAAGAAUUCCCUAUCUAAUAAUUUUUGUAUUUUAAUUGAGAAUAAUUAAAGUUCAGAUAUAGAUAUAGAAUUAGUUGACUUCAAGAAUUGGUAAUUAAAUCAUGUUUACGAAUUUGUAGUCCUAAUACUUGAUUGAAUUUUACUCAUCAAAUCUUUUUGCUUGAUCAACUUAAUCGAUUUAGUUAGUAAUUAAGGAAAUCAAUCUUUAAAAUUGUGAACUAAUUUUUUGGUGCUCAUGUUAGAGUUAAUUGUGAUAAAAGCAUGAUCGGUAAUCAUGUUUGAUGAACGAUACUCACUUGUCACUUUAUUACUUAUUAUUGAUAAUACUUAUGGAACAUUUAGACGAUGGCUUACAUGAUUUGGGGAAUUUAAUUUAUUUUUGACUUUUGAUCAGAUUUUUGGAAUGGCAGAGAAAGAGAUGGAAUACAGGGUGGAUUUGUUCAACAAGUAGGUGGACCCUGCCUUUUGCUCUUUCUUACAAUUCUUCAUAACAGUGAUGUAUUGGCUAUUGGUGGUCUAAUGUUAAUUCAGAGCUUGAAACUAAUUAAUACUUUCUAUCCUGCGAGCUUAACUUGAUGAAAGAUGGAAACUUAAAAGGCUUGAUAGUUGCUGACUACUACUAUAUUGUGUUAUGCAAUAUGCAUUAUUGAUGCCUGCAACUUUGUGCAAGUGUUCCUCCAGUAUUUAUUUGACGAUGGGUUUUUAAUCCAGGCUUACGCACCCCGAACCUCAUUUUAGUGAAAUUACUCAUUUAAGCAUAAAUAUGAAAUACCAAGUUCUAGAAAUCUGGUAAUUUAGAACAUUUUCUCCAUCAGAAUAAUGAUAUUUAUAUUCAGUUGGGUGCUUAAAGGGAUUGUACUUCAUAAAUAUUCAGGUACAAGGAAUCCGAGUUAAAUAUGGGUGAAAACAGUUGCAUUGACCGUUGCGUGUCAAAAUAUUGGCAGGUGAAUUGAUGACUUCUGCACUUAAGAUUUAUUCUUGUUUUCUUUUUGAACUCUUGUGUGAAUGCAUGUGCUUCGAUGGUUGCAAAAUGUCAUUAUUUGAAUUUACUGCUAUACAUAUUUGAGCAAGUCAUUUUUGUAUUUGUUGUUACUGCAUAGUAGGAGAAUGAGAACAAAACUAAUGUUAAUUUCAUGAUACAUCUAUGACUCGCAACACAUUAGAGUAGUUGAUUUAUUUGCAUAGAUGCGAUGGAAUUUAGUUGUCACUUUCUGGAAGUUUCAAUGGGUCCCUAUUGUUUGUGAUACAAGAACAACAAACAAAUAAAAUGUAUUCUUGGUGCUAAUUUUGAUGGCACAUUUUCUGAGGAUUUCACGAUGAAAGAGUAGAUUUAGUUAAGAGAGGAGGGAAUGUAUAAGUUUUUCAUCGUACUCUCUUCCUCAUUGUUUUUCCUUUGUACAAGCGUAGUUUUUUCUUUUUUGCAUUGGAUUGUAUUGGCUGAUAAGCCUUUUAACCUGCAGAUCUAUUGCCAAUUCAUGACUUUGUCAGCAUGGUACAGGUUCCAUGUUUGGCUAAACUUAAAGAUUUGCUCAUUAGUAAAUAAGUUAGUUUUAAAAUAAUUUUUUCUAUUGGUCAUAGUUGAAAAUGAAUAAAUUACUAAUUUGAAUUAAGCUAACCAUGCCAUAGUAUCAAAGUAAGUAACAGAAUAGUAACUAUCAACAAAAAAUUUACUUAUAAGUAUUCUUAACUAUCGACCUUAGCUAAACAUCUUGAAGAACUUAUUUCGUGCUUGUUUGAUAAAGAUUUUUUGUGAAAUGAUUCUUUGAUAAGUGUGUAUUUUUAUUUUUUUUUAAUGGGUGGUUAAAAAGCAUAGAAACGAUAUGGGAAUUAUGAAAAAUAAAUUUUUUGGGGGAAAAUUUGGUUGAAAAUGAGUGUCUGUGAUAAGUGUUUCUUAAAGCAUCAAAAUCUCAUCUCGCAAUUAUAUUUUCAAAUUUUUUAAACGAGUGAUGUGGAAGAAAUGAACAAUGAGGUUCUUGACUGUAACUUAAAAGAAAAGGAGAUUGCACAAAUUGGAGGUGGGAAAUUGCCCAGAUGUAUGUCACUGUUCUUGUGCCAGGUUUGGAUUAGAUUGCAAAGAAUUUGUUGCAGGCUGAGCUGAAAAAGAGGUACAGUGAAUCUUCAGAGAAGCCCCGAAGGCACAUGAAUAUUUCCAUUUAGUUAGUUAAAGUAGGGGGAGGGGUAUUAUAGGAUUUGGUAGAAUAAAUUUUAUAGGAUUCUAACUAUGAACGGGGGGGUUAAGGUGUUCAUUUCAUUUAUGCAGAACAGAAAUUGGGUGUCAAAUUGAGAGAGAAUGGGCCUCUAGGUAACUCAUCAAACUAUUGUAAUUCCACUUUGUCCUUUCAUUCAGUAAUGCAAAUCCGGGUUCCUAUCACCUUCCUUGGGGAGUGGGUCAUCUUCGGAGGUGGAAAAUUGGGUGGAAUAGGCAUAAAUAGGUGAGGGCGGUGAUAUAUAAAAAGUUACCUACACACGUCAAUCCAUUUGUUAAAUGGGUCACAGGGUCAGAGCUGGUUUAACCAUUAGGAAGGUGAGUAGUUGCCUAAGACCCCUAUUUAUAGAGGGCCCAUAAAUUUUAAUAAGAAAAUCAAUUGUUAAGAUUCUUUUACUUCUUUUACUCGGGAGACACAAAUGUUUGCAAUUGAAGUCAAAAAGUACAAAAAUUUGAAGAAAUCUGAUAAUGAAAAAUAUUUCUCCAGUAUACAGUACUCCAAACCAAAGGCACCAAGAACAAAUGCCUUUUACAUUAGGCUGUAUGGAUAUUUCAACAAAUUCAUUAAGAAUUAAAUAAUACUUUUCAGGAUUUCUAGAAGUAGAUGAAACUUCAGGAAAAAGGCCUCUUUAGUGAACUUACAAGUAAAAUUCCAAAUCUAAAACCUGAUAAUAAUUAUGCAAGAGAACAAGGAUAUGAUAACGGUUCUAACAUGAAAGAAAUCAAGAAGGCAUACGAAAAGGAUUAUUGCAGAUUAAUCGUCAAGUGCUUGUAGUUUUGAAUCAUUACUCUAGUAUGUUGUUUUCUUGAACUUUUCGAGUUGUUUAACCCCUGUUUGGUACGAAUUAAAAUAACAUUUUUAGUAAAUUUUGAUAAAGUUAAUGAAGCUGUUGAAAAGUUGUGGAUUCCACGAUAUAUGUGGUUAAAACUAAUUGUUGAAUUUGAUCUAGAUUAAAAUCUAAAUUUUAAUCUCUGCCAAACAAGGAUUUAAUAUUUAAUAGUCUUUUCUAAACCUAAAUGAUGGAACAUAUUGAAGUCACAUAUCAAAUUUAAGCCUCUGUUUGGGAAGAAUUUAUAAUCUGUUUAAUUUAUAAAUAGAUAUAAGUGAGUUGUGGAUAAAUGCAUAUAUUUUUGGGUCUAUUGAAAUAUGUAAUUGAAAAUGAUGUUUGAUUAAUUGAUAAUGUACGAAUGAUUUAUAAAUUUUGCCUAGCAGAGGCUUAGGUUAAUAGUUAAAUUGUUGUCACAAACUCAUGGAGAAAGUGGUACCAGAAGUAUCUGUAUUGAGAAGUAGGUUUUUCCUUUGCAAUCAUGAAAUUUGAAAUCCAAGAAGAAUAUUGGAUCUUGGUUUAGGUAAUGUCAAGUCUUUCCCCUUGGUGGUUCAAAAUUCCCUCCUUGUGAAGUAAUGUUUGAAGAAUAACGUUUUAGUCAUGGCAAUUGAUCCAAUUGAAAUGAUCUCUCUGAAAUAAGUGUCACCUCUACCCUAUUCCCUUGAAUAUGCAGUUAAUAUGGUUAUAUUGUUCGACUAGAUGAAUUCUUUCCCCAUAGUACAUCCUAACCGAGCUAACACCAUAUAGCUUCCUCCGGCAAGCAUGAAAGGACCCAUUUCUCUGAUGUGUAUCAUUUGAUGACAUCAGACUUCAUGUUUUGUUUCUUAAUGACACUAAGACCUCUGAAACUUGUUUAUGUCCAAAGUGCUGAAACAUGGUGAUGGUGUCUCCAAAGUACGUAAAAGCCUUAAAAUGCAUAGAAAUAGGACAUUUAUUGAGCUUCUUGAAUGUUAGACUGGUUUGGUAAUCCCGGUGAGUUAUUUGACCCAAUCUACUUGUGUCGUGUACUCGAAUCCUCGUCUGUCGGUGCCUUAUAAAUCUCUUAUUGACUGCUGUUGAAAUGCCCUCUACAGGUAACUAAUCUAGUCGAUCAGUUGCUGGGGAAUAAUCGGCCACCAAUGUGAAGGAGAUAAUUUUGCACCGAACAUGGCUGGUAAUGGACCAAGAACCUCAAUAUGAGAAAAUGGGAAAUAGAAGAUGACAGUUAUUACUCUUCAGAAGUAGAACUAUCCGUUUACAUGCCCUGGCACUCUAAUAUUCUGGUUAUAUUUAGGAUAUGUUUAAUUGUAAGUAUGAAACUUGCGUGGAAAGCAAAUAAGUUAUAGACAAAUGGAAAUUGUCAAUUAAAUGUGUUUGAU
rnacentral:lncRNA from 1 species